CCCAGUGUUCAGACUACCUGUCCA
rnacentral:piRNA from 1 species